CUGCCCCUCCCCUCGGGCGCAAAUCACGCCCCAGAUUAGCACGCCCACCAGCGCCCCUUCCCUUUCGAUCGCCACCAGCGCCCCUCCUCCGCGCCGGACCGCCACCCCACGUUCCUCCGCACCAGGCCGCCGCCACGCCCUCCUCCGCGCCGGACCGCCUCCCCACGUUCCUCCGCACCAGGCCGCCGCCGUUGCAGUUCUCCAGGAUCCAAGACCAAGCUCGCGACGAAGGGCUUGGAGCUGGCCGCGAGAAGGUGCUCAAGGCCGGCUCCCUUUCCACAGCGCCCCCCCUGGAUGGGAGCCUCCGCAUGCUCCUGCUAUGGCGACGACGCAGCCGUUCUUCCACUGGACAACUCCAUCCCCAGCUACUUGUCUGUCGCCUCGGAUCUCCAUCUCGAUCUGUGAUGUGUUCUCUGGUGCCAUUGAAGCAGAAUCCCGUGCUUCCCAAAUUGUAUGUAGGACACGAUUGGAGACUCUGGAAUUUCCAUUCAUUCAACGAUUAUUAUUUUUAGAUCAGUACAUGUUGUGAUUGAUGAUGGUGGAAAUUGGAGGGAUUCUAUUUACUUAUUUUUGCGAGGAGGAAUUAUCUCCAAGGUUGCCCUGCUGAGGAAACUUCAAAAAUUAGGCUUUUCUUUGUAAAUGACUUCUCAAGACUGGUCUGAUUUCUGUUCCCUUGGUCACAAAAUAUUCAUGGGAUUUCAUUUGAAUGGUUAUUCCAGAUUAUGCUGAACUAAAUAUGAGCAGUUCAGUGUGGUGUUUUGUUCGAAUUGCGAGUUUGGUGUGGUAUUUCUGCAGGAGUUUCUGAAUCUAAAGCAAAGGUGAGCGCCAAGGAAGGAGACGCCGCCACGAGCAGCAGUGGCGGGGCUGACCGCUGGCGGCCGCAAUAAUUAAUAUUGUCCCUUAGAUCCACCAUCACUAUGAAGCUGCCAAUCUGAACCAGGAGAAGUCUUAUACGGCGCAUAUUAACACUUACCGAGGUGAAGACCCAUUGUUGAUGAAGUAUUUUCUAAUUGAUCCAUACGGCGCAUAUUAACACUUACCAAGGUGAAGACCCAUAGUUGAUGAAGUACUUGCUAAUUGACUCAUCCGGCACCCAGCUAUUUGAUCUUAUUAGGGAUGGUGUCCUGCUCUGGUGAGAUGGCUUUCUAGCUAGCUACAGGGUGUAUGCUCAUUUACUCUUUGAACUGAAAUUGUUAAUUCAUUGAUCAGUAGGUUAGUCAAUGUAGCUGUAGGUGGAACCAUUGAUGAGAGAGCAAUAAAUAAGAAAAGAGUUUGUAACUCAUGGGAGAGGAAUCAAAAUCACAUGAUGUGUCUCAACUCUGCAAAGGCCAUUCGAUGUACUGUUGUCAACAUUGGCACGCAGGAUUUAGUGGAAGGAAGGGUAUGUCUUUCCCCACUUGUUAUCCUUUCUUGAUGUAGUGUGAUUGGUAUACAAAUGUUCCAGAGCUCUGAACUAUCCUUUUCGCAGUAACUUAAAUCAUGACUUCUCCCUUUAAUUCUGUCAUAUCCUGUAUCGUGAUAUUAAAUAUUGCUGUGAUGAAUUGGUAGGUAAAUUUAGGUACGAAAUACUCUUAUCAGUCAAUAUUGUUUAAGGCCCAAAUUUUUGAUUGAAAUUUUGGUCAGUUUCAAAUAUUUGUUCAUGAUAUUCAGGUCCAAAGAUAUGUAACAACCUAUUUGAGCAAGUUGAAAACACAUUCGGAUCAUGAUUAGUACAUCAUGCAUCUGUUAUCUUAUUUUGCGUUUGUAAUCGUAAUAGAUGUCUCUAGCUUCAGUAUGCUGUUAGUGACCCACAAAAAAAGUAUGUUGUUAGUGUACCUCAAGAACGCUUUAGGUUUGGUGGAAAGGAGAGAGAGAGAGAGAGAGAGAGAGAGAGAGAGAGAGAGAGAGAGAGAGAGAGAGAGAGAGAGAGAGAGAGAGAGA